CCUACGGGAGGCAGCAGUGGGGAAUAUUGGACAAUGGGCGAAAGCCUGAUCCAGCCAUGCCGCGUGUGUGAAGAAGGCCUUCGGGUUGUAAAGCACUUUCAGUGGGGAAGAAAGCCUUGGGGCUAAUACCCUCGAGGAAGGACAUCACCCACAGAAGAAGCACCGGCUAACUCCGUGCCAGCAGCCGCGGUAAUACGGAGGGUGCGAGCGUUAAUCGGAAUUACUGGGCGUAAAGCGCGCGUAGGCGGUCUGAUAAGCCGGUUGUGAAAGCCCCGGGCUCAACCUGGGAACGGCAUCCGGAACUGUCAGGCUAGAGUGCAGGAGAGGAAGGUAGAAUUCCCGGUGUAGCGGUGAAAUGCGUAGAGAUCGGGAGGAAUACCAGUGGCGAAGGCGGCCUUCUGGACUGACACUGACGCUGAGGUGCGAAAGCGUGGGUAGCAAACAGGAUUAAUACCCUUGUAGUC
rnacentral:rRNA from 1 species